rnacentral:rRNA from 1 species
GAUGCCGAUUACCCGCGAUGGGACGAAAAGACCCCGUGAACCUUUACUAUAGCUUAGCAUUGAAUUUGGGCACGCGAUGUGUAGGAUAGGUCGGAGGCUUUGAAGCAGGCACGCCAGUGUUUGUGGAGCCGCUGUUGAAAUACGACCCUUCGUUUGUUUGAGUUCUAACUUCAGAAAAGAAGGACAUUGCUUGGUGGGUAGUUUGACUGGGGUGGUCGCCUCCAAAAGCGU